rnacentral:rRNA from 1 species
GACGAACGCUGGCGGCGUGCUUAACACAUGCAAGUCGAACGGAAAGGCCCUGCUUUUGUGGGGUGCUCGAGUGGCGAACGGGUGAGUAACACGUGAGUAACCUGCCCUUGACUUUGGGAUAACUUCAGGAAACUGGGGCUAAUACCGGAUAGGAGCUCCUGCUGCAUGGUGGGGGUUGGAAAGUUUCGGCGGUUGGGGAUGGACUCGCGGCUUAUCAGCUUGUUGGUGGGGUAGUGGCUUACCAAGGCUUUGACGGGUAGCCGGCCUGAGAGGGUGACCGGCCACAUGGGGACUGAGAUACGGCCCAGACUCCUACGGGAGGCAGCAGUGGGGAAUAUUGCACAAUGGGCGGAAGCCUGAUGCAGCAACGCGGCGUGCGGGAUGACGGCCUUCGGGUGGUAAACCGCUUUCGCCUGUGACGAAGCGUGAGGGACGGUAAUGGGUAAAGAAGCACCGGCUAACUACGU